CCUACGGGGGGCUGCAGUCGAGAAUCUUCCACAAUGGACGAAAGUCUGAUGGAGCGACGCCGCGUGAUUGAUGAAGCGAUUCGUCGUGUAAAGAUCUUUUAUGAGGGAAGAAGUUUAUUGACUGUACCUCAUGAAUAAGGGGCUCCUAACUCUGUGCCAGCAGGAGCGGUAAUACAGAGGCCCCGAGCGUUAUCCGGAAUUAUUGGGCGUAAAGGAUGUGUAGGUGGCGUUGUUAGUCGUUUGUGAAAGAUCCGAGCUUAACUUGGAAAACGCGAACGAAACGGCAAUGCUUGAGUAUGUGAGAGGUAAGCAGAACUCAUGGUGUAGGGGUGAAAUCCGUUGAUAUCAUGGGGAAUACCAAAAGCGAAGGCAGCUUACUGGCACAUUACUGACACUGAAACACGAAAGCGUGGGUAGCGAAUGGGCUUAGAUACCCGAGUAGUC
rnacentral:rRNA from 1 species